rnacentral:tRNA from 1 species
GGUUGUGGCUCAGUGGUAGAGCUCUUGCCUGGCACAUGUGAGGCACUGGGUUCGAUCCUCAGCACCA